UUAAGCGACCAAGCGUACACGGUGGAUGCCCUGGCAGUCAGAGGCGAUGAAGGACGUGCUAAUCUGCGAUAAGCGCCGGUAAGGUGAUAUGAACCGUUAUAACCGGCGAUUUCCGAAUGGGGAAACCCAGUGUGUUUCGACACACUAUCAUUACGUGAAUACAUAGCGUAAUGAAGCGAACCGGGGGAACUGAAACAUCUAAGUACCCCGAGGAAAAGAAAUCAACCGAGAUUCCCCCAGUAGCGGCGAGCGAACGGGGAGGAGCCCAGAGCCUGAAUCAGCAUGUGUGUUAGUGGAAGCGUCUGGAAAGGCGUGCGAUACAGGGUGACAGCCCCGUACACAAAAGCGCAUAUGCUGUGAGCUCGAUGAGUAGGGCGGGACACGUGGUAUCCUGUCUGAAUAUGGGGGGGACCAUCCUCCAAGGCUAAAUACUCCUGACUGACCGAUAGUGAACCAGUACCGUGAGGGAAAGGCGAAAAGAACCCCGGCGAGGGGAGUGAAACAGAACCUGAAACCGUGUACGUACAAGCAGUGGGAGCACAGGUUUACCUGUGUGACUGCGUACCUUUUGUAUAAUGGGUCAGCGACUUAUAUUCUGUAGCAAGGUUAACCGAAUAGGGGAGCCGAAGGGAAACCGAGUCUUAAUUGGGCGUUAAGUUGCAGGGUAUAGACCCGAAACCCGGUGAUCUAGCCAUGGGCAGGUUGAAGGUUGGGUAACACUAACUGGAGGACCGAACCGACUAAUGUUGAAAAAUUAGCGGAUGACCUGUGGCUGGGGGUGAAAGGCCAAUCAAACCGGGAGAUAGCUGGUUCUCCCCGAAAGCUAUUUAGGUAGCGCCUCGUGAAUUCAUCUCCGGGGGUAGAGCACUGUUUCGGCUAGGGGGCCAUCCCGGCUUACCAACCCGAUGCAAACUGCGAAUACCGGAGAAUGUUAUCACGGGAGACACACGGCGGGUGCUAACGUCCGUCGUGAAGAGGGAAACAACCCAGACCGCCAGCUAAGGUCCCAAAGUCAUGGUUAAGUGGGAAACGAUGUGGGAAGGCCCAGACAGCCAGGAUGUUGGCUUAGAAGCAGCCAUCAUUUAAAGAAAGCGUAAUAGCUCACUGGUCGAGUCGGCCUGCGCGGAAGAUGUAACGGGGCUAAACCAUGCACCGAAGCUGCGGCAGCGAACGUAUCACUUAAAACGAUUCAGAAGCUUACGACUGACGGAGCGAAGCGACGUCAAAGCGUUCAUAAAAGUCGAGUCGGUUUAAGGAUACGUUCGUUGGGUAGGGGAGCGUUCUGUAAGCCGUUGAAGGUGGCCUGUGAGGGUUGCUGGAGGUAUCAGAAGUGCGAAUGCUGACAUAAGUAACGAUAAAGCGGGUGAAAAGCCCGCUCGCCGGAAGACCAAGGGUUCCUGUCCAACGUUAAUCGGGGCAGGGUGAGUCGACCCCUAAGGCGAGGCCGAAAGGCGUAGUCGAUGGGAAACGGGUUAAUAUUCCCGUACUUGGUGUUACUGCGAAGGGGGGACGGAGAAGGCUAUGUUGGCCGGGCGACGGUUGUCCCGGUUUAAGCGUGUAGGCUGACUUUCCAGGCAAAUCCGGAGAGUCAAGGCUGAGGCGUGACGACGAGGCACUACGGUGCUGAAGCAACAAAUGCCCUGCUUCCAGGAAAAGCCUCUAAGCAUCAGGUAACAUCAAAUCGUACCCCAAACCGACACAGGUGGUCAGGUAGAGAAUACCAAGGCGCUUGAGAGAACUCGGGUGAAGGAACUAGGCAAAAUGGUGCCGUAACUUCGGGAGAAGGCACGCUGACAUGUAGGUGAAGUGGUUUACCCAUGGAGCUGAAGUCAGUCGAAGAUACCAGCUGGCUGCAACUGUUUAUUAAAAACACAGCACUGUGCAAACACGAAAGUGGACGUAUACGGUGUGACGCCUGCCCGGUGCCGGAAGGUUAAUUGAUGGGGUCAGCGCAAGCGAAGCUCCUGAUCGAAGCCCCGGUAAACGGCGGCCGUAACUAUAACGGUCCUAAGGUAGCGAAAUUCCUUGUCGGGUAAGUUCCGACCUGCACGAAUGGCGUAAUGAUGGCCAGGCUGUCUCCACCCGAGACUCAGUGAAAUUGAACUCGCUGUGAAGAUGCAGUGUACCCGCGGCAAGACGGAAAGACCCCGUGAACCUUUACUAUAGCUUGACACUGAACAUUGAGCCUUGAUGUGUAGGAUAGGUGGGAGGCUUUGAAGCGUGGACGCCAGUCUGCGUGGAGCCGACCUUGAAAUACCACCCUUUAAUGUUUGAUGUUCUAACGUGGACCCGUGAUCCGGGUUGCGGACAGUGUCUGGUGGGUAGUUUGACUGGGGCGGUCUCCUCCUAAAGAGUAACGGAGGAGCACGAAGGUUGGCUAAUCCUGGUCGGACAUCAGGAGGUUAGUGCAAUGGCAUAAGCCAGCUUGACUGCGAGCGUGACGGCGCGAGCAGGUGCGAAAGCAGGUCAUAGUGAUCCGGUGGUUCUGAAUGGAAGGGCCAUCGCUCAACGGAUAAAAGGUACUCCGGGGAUAACAGGCUGAUACCGCCCAAGAGUUCAUAUCGACGGCGGUGUUUGGCACCUCGAUGUCGGCUCAUCACAUCCUGGGGCUGAAGUAGGUCCCAAGGGUAUGGCUGUUCGCCAUUUAAAGUGGUACGCGAGCUGGGUUUAGAACGUCGUGAGACAGUUCGGUCCCUAUCUGCCGUGGGCGCUGGAGAAUUGAGGGGGGCUGCUCCUAGUACGAGAGGACCGGAGUGGACGCAUCACUGGUGUUCGGGUUGUCAUGCCAAUGGCACUGCCCGGUAGCUAAAUGCGGAAGAGAUAAGUGCUGAAAGCAUCUAAGCACGAAACUUGCCCCGAGAUGAGUUCUCCCUGAGACUUAGAGUCUCCUGAAGGAACGUUAAAGACGAUGACGUUGAUAGGCCGGGUGUGUAAGCGCAGCGAUGCGUUGAGCUAACCGGUACUAAUGAACCGUGAGGCUUAACCUU
rnacentral:rRNA from 1 species